UACGUAGGGUGCAAGCGUUGUCCGGAAUUAUUGGGCGUAAAGAGCUCGUAGGCGGUUUGUCGCGUCUGCUGUGAAAUCUCCACGCUUAACGUGGAGCGUGCGGUCGAUACGGGCAGACUUGAGUUCGGUAGGGGAGACUGGAACUCCUGGUGUAGCGGUGAAAUGCGCAGAUAUCAGGAGGAACACCGGUGGCGAAGGCGGGUCUCUGGGCCGAUACUGACGCUGAGGAGCGAAAGCGUGGGGAGCGAGCAGG
rnacentral:rRNA from 1 species